CCUACGGGUGGCUGCAGUGGGGAAUAUUGGACAAUGGGGGGAACCCUGAUCCAGCCAUGCCGCGUGUGUGAAGAAGGCCCUCGGGUUGUAAAGCACUUUCAGUGAGGAAGAACGCCUGGUGGUUAAUACCCAUCAGGAAAGACAUCACUCACAGAAGAAGCACCGGCUAACUCCGUGCCAGCAGCCGCGGUAAUACGGAGGGUGCGAGCGUUAAUCGGAAUUACUGGGCGUAAAGCGCGCGUAGGUGGCUUGAUAAGCCGGUUGUGAAAGCCCCGGGCUCAACCUGGGAACGGCAGCCGGAACUGUCAAGCUAGAGUGCAGGAGAGGAAGGUAGAAUUCCCGGUGUAGCGGUGAAAUGCGUAGAGAUCGGGAGGAAUACCAGUGGCGAAGGCGGCCUUCUGGACUGACACUGACACUGAGGUGCGAAAGCGUGGGUAGCAAACAGGAUUAGAUACCCGAGUAGUC
rnacentral:rRNA from 1 species